rnacentral:tRNA from 1 species
GGGGAAUUAGCUCAGCUGGUUAGAGCGCCUGGUUUGCAACCAGGAGGUCGUGGGUUCGAAUCCCAUAUUCUCCA